rnacentral:lncRNA from 10 species
AACAUUAAUAAAUUGUUAAAAGAAUUAGAAAUAGGGUCUCUUUUAGAGAUAUAGCUGUAGAGUGCUGUCUUAAACAUAGGCUAUUUUAAGUUCAGUGCUCUAAAGUGAAAAUUAUGUUACACUUUAUAUUUAAAAAUUAACUUAGCAAGAAUAUCUAAGAAAUUUUUGAAAAAUAACAAUAAUGAGGAUGGAUGAAAUGUCCCUCAUCAUUAUUUACAAUAAAGCUACAAUUCAUGUAACUGGUAUGUGCAUAGAUUGACAGAUUAAUGAAACAGAAUAAAAAGUUGAGAAAUGAAUCCAAAUACAUAUGAGAAUUUAGAAUAUGAUAAACAUGACAUUUCAAAUCCUUAGGAAUGCUUAUAGCUUCUGCCUAAGAUCUAGAAAACUGGAAAUAAUUUUUAAUUUUGCUAACAACAAGAAAAAAUAAUGUACAAAAUCAUAAUUUGUCUUGAACCACCCCCCCUCAAGAACUGAGGUAAGGCACCAAAAUAGCCUGAUAUUCUAAGGAAAAAUAGGCAUCUUCAAGAGGAGAGAAGAUGAAAGCAUUGAUUUACCUGUGGCAGAGCAUAAGAGGAAGGCAAGCCCACCAUACAAGCAGGUAAGAAGCUAAAAUAUUUAACAAAUUGCUAAAGGCUGAGUUUGUUCUAGAAUGAAAUCAUGGAACCCUUGAGAGCCCUAGACCCAAAGAUGGUUUGCAUCCUUUUGCUGGUUUGUUUUCACCAACUUCGCUGGAUACAGAUGAGAAAGACAGGAGUCAGGGUGGGAUUUCAUAGGAAGCCACCUUUUGCAGUAUAGGCCUGGAGAGGAGAAUGGCCAGUUCUGUGGUAAACACACAAAGCUCCACCCAGACCUUCUCCCCUAAGAAACAAAAUACUUAUGUUGUUAGGGUAAGGGCAGUAAACCUAUCUCCCCCAGAGCACAGGUGACAUACCAUUUUAUCUGGGAGAAAUACAAAGAACAAAACCCUCCAACUCUGGAGGAGGGGAAAGAAACUAUUAUGGAUCCAGUCCAAGAGAGGUUUCCUGCCUCUGGGUGAGGGAUACGAUCACUGAGAAAACUCCACUCCUAGACCCAGAGAUAUAGGGUCUGACUAAGUCUGAGGCUGGAGAAGGACCACAGAAAGUUAUCCUGCCCUCUCUCUCCCCAUCCUACCCUCUAGCAAGUGCCAAAUAACAAGCACCAGGCAACAAGCAACCAAAGUCUACUUUUGGGGAAGAGGCAAGAACAUGGAGAACUCUGAGGCACACAUUUAUAGAGAAGGUAUAAAGUUAAGGAAGAAGCAGGACAUUGAGGAAAAAGCCUCUGGAAACCAAAUCCCACCCUACGCACAAGGUGAAGAAACUGAGGCAGCAGAAAUGAAGGAAUUUGACAAAGAUCAUACAGUUAAGUAGUAUAGGCAAGAUUCAAUUAAAGGAAGUCUGACCUUAAAACUCAUAUCUUAAAAGAAUUACCACAUGAUCUAGCAAUCGCAUUACUGGAUAUUUAUACAAAGGAAAUGAAAUUUGUAUGUCGAAGAGAUAUCUGCACUCCCAUGUUCAUUGCAGCAUUUUUCACAAUAGCCAAGAUAUGGAAUCAACCUAAGUGUCUAUCAACAGAUGAAUGAAGAAAGAAAAUGUAUACACAAUGGAGUAACAUUCAGCCUUAAAAGCAAGAAAAUCCAGCCUUAAAAAGGAAGGACGACCGGGUUGUCAUUUGGGACUACAUGGAUGAACCUGGAAAACAUUAUGUUAAGUGAAAUAAGCCAGGCACAGGAAGACAAUACUGCAUGAUCUCACCCAUUUGUGGAAUUUUAAAAAGUCAGAAGUCAGAAUCAUAAAAGUAGAGAGUCGCAUGCUGGUUACCAGGGGCUGGAGAGAGGUGGUGGUGGGGGGGUGGUGUUGGGGAAAUAUUGGUCAAAGGAGACAAAAUUUCAGUUAGGUAGGAGGAAUAAGUUCAAGAGAUCUAUUGUACCACAUGGAGACAAUAGUAAAUAACAAUGUAUUAUAGUCUUGGAAGUUGCUAAGAGAGUGGAUUUUAAGUGUUCUCAUCAUAUAAAAUGAUAAGUGUGUUCUGCAAUGCAUAUAUUAAUUAGCUCAAUGUAGUCAUUCCACAGUGUGUACAUGUUUCAAACAUGUUGCAUGUGAUAAAUAUAUACAAUUUUUGUUAAUUAAAAAACAUUUUAAACUCUCGAGAAAAGAACCAACAGCUUAAAACAUUCAUAUCUUAACCAGUAUGCUACAUAGUCUCUGGCUGAUACAGAUGCUGAAGGGCUGUUUUCAUUUCUUUUGAGGCCUUCAGGGCACUAACAUUGCAUGAACGCAUCUCUUAUUUUAAAAAUUACUUUCGGCAGCUGGACGCGUUGGCUCACGCCUGUAAUCCCAACACUUUGGGAGGCCGAGGUGGGUGGAUCAUGAGGUCAGGAGAUCGAGACCAUCCUGGCUAACAUGGUGAAACCCUGUCUCUACUAAAAAUACAAAAAAUUAGCUGGGUGUGGUGGUGGGCGCCUGUAGUCUCAGCUACUUGGGAGGCUGAGGCAGGAGAAUGGCGUGAACAUGGAAGGCAGAGCUUGCAGUGAGCCGAGAUCGCACCACUGCACUCCAGCCUGGGUGACAGAGCAAGACUCCGUCUCAAAAAGAAAAAAAAAAUACUUUCUUUUCACGUUUUUUUGUUGUGUGUGUGAGACAGGGUUGAAGUCUGGAGCUCACUCAAUCCUCCCACCUCAACCUCCUGUAGCUGGGAUUACAGGUUCAUACCUUCAACCACUUUUUACUACAAAAUGGCAUUUUUAAAAUGGCUUGAUGUAAUAUAAAUUGUCUUUCUCAAAAUAAUUAUUUUCUUAUUCCUCCCUUUACUUCCUGAAUAGUCCUUAUACUCCCUCUCAUUGUUCAAACCUCUUAUAACUCUGUAGACCACACAAUUACAGUAAUACCACAUAAGAAGAAAUUUGGGUCCUCAUGCCUUCCCUGUAAUAUAGUCCUAUUGCUUUCUGAUCUUCUACUGCUUGAACAUCACUUUGAAUAUUUAUUGUGAUAUUUAUAUUGUAGUAAUAUAGGGGCAUAAGGAAGCCAGUCAUGAUUUUAGUGGUUUGGAGACUGAUUAUGUUUUUCCCUGUUAUUUAUCCAAGUUUGAAAGGAACAAGCCCAAGGCAAAAUUAAAGUUACAAAAUUUUUCAAAGUAAGAUUUUUCUUUCAACAUUUUUCAAUCAACAUGUAUUAAGUACUCACAAGGUCCUGGCACUCUGUGAAGUGCUAUGGUGUAGAAAGAUGUGAAAUGGAAAGAAAAUCAUCACCUUGGCCUUAGAAGAAUUUAAAGAACAAUUUAUACAUUGAACUAUUCAGUUUUCUUUGGAAUUUUCUGAUUUUUGACAACAAUAUUCUUAAGGGAGAGUCAUAGAGAAAAGGUUUACAGGGGCUAUUGCCCAUUCACAGUAUGGGUGAAUAACUUUGAAAAUUACCAAUUACGAUUUUUUGAAACGUUGAUUGAUAUUUCAUAAAAUAAUUUCUAGUGAUAAGCCACAUGGAUCAACUGAUUAUAAAUCUAGACUACUUUUGUUGAAUGCAAUGGUGGCUGACAAAAAGCCACCCCUACAUUCUAUGGUCACCCAGGUUUCUUUGCCUCACAAACUUACUUCAGGGACCACCGUAGCCACAGAGGGUCCCAGGAUCAGGGCGCCAUAGUACUCUGGAUUCCAUGCAAGAGCAGUGGGCUUUACAAUGGGGGCUGAGAAAGGCGAGAGGGACCAUGUCUUUCCUUUAGCCCUGACCCUCGCUUCAAAGUUGGAGUAAUUGAUAUUUUUAACCUUUAGACCUCAUAUUAUUUAUUAAGGGUGAUUUUUUUUUUCAGCUUC